GGUCCCUAUCCGUCGUGGGCGUAGGAAAUUUGAGAGGAGCUGUCCUUAGUACGAGAGGACCGGGAUGGACGGACCGCUGGUGCAUCUGUUAGACUGCCAAGUCUAUAGCAGAGUAGCCAAGUCUGGAAAAGAUAAACGCUGAAGGCAUCUAAGCGUGAAACAGACCUCAAGAUAAGAUUUCCCAUUCUGAAAAGAAGUAAGACCCCUUGAAGACGACAAGGUAGAUAGGUUGGAGGUGGAAGUAUGGUGACAUAUGGAGCUGACCAAUACUAAUGGUUCGAGGGUUUGACCUA
rnacentral:ncRNA from 1 species